rnacentral:SRP_RNA from 2 species
GCCAGGCAUGGUGGCGCAUGCCUGUAAUCCCAGCUACUCAGGAGGCUGAGGCAGGAGAAUCACUUGAACCCGGGAGAUGGAGGUUGCAGUGAGCCGUGAUCGUGCCACUGCAAUCUAGCCUGGGCGACAGAAUGAGACUCCGUCUCAA